rnacentral:rRNA from 1 species
UACGUAGGGCGCAAGCGUUGUCCGGAAUUAUUGGGCGUAAAGAGCUCGUAGGCGGUUUGUCGCGUCUGCUGUGAAAACCUAAGGCUCAACCUUGGGCUUGCAGUGGGUACGGGCAGACUAGAGUGCGGUAGGGGUGACUGGAAUUCCUGGUGUAGCGGUGGAAUGCGCAGAUAUCAGGAGGAACACCGGUGGCGAAGGCGGGUCUCUGGGGCAGUAAACUGACGCUGGAGGAGCGA